CCGAGGGUUCCGGAAGAAAAAGCAUGGGUUAACUCCCGGCCGCCACCCGCGGUAUUAGGAGGGAGGGAGGGUUUCCGGAUUUAUUAGGUUUAAGGGUGGGCAGGGGAGGAUCAAUCAGCGGUAAAAUGAGAGGUUCAACCUCUUCGAGCCGUGCAAAAGGGUUUUCUUGAAGUGAGGGAGAAGUACGUGGAAUGCGUAGUGUAGCGUGGAAAUGAAUCAUUUCACGCAGCACUCCGCUUGCGAAGGCAGCAUACCGGCGCUCAACUGACGAUCAUGCACGAAAGUGUGGGUAUGGAACAGGAUUAGAUACCCUGGUAGUCCACACAGCAAACGAUGAAUAUUAAUUCUUCGGGGAGAAUGAUCCCUGAGCGAUACAGCGAAAGCGUUAAGUAUUCCACGUGGGGAGUACGCCGGCAACGGUGAAACUCAAAGGAAUUGACGGGGGCCCGCUCAAGCGGUGGAACAUGUGGUUUAAUUAGAUGAUACGGGAGGAUCCUUCCCCGGGCUCAAAGGACACAGGAAUAUUUUUGAAAGGAGGCAGCUUUUCGGAGCGUGUGUUGAGGUGGGGCAUGGUUGUCGUCAGCUGGUGCCGUGAGGGGUAGGUUUAUGUGCCAUAACGAGCGCAUCCUCCCUCGCCAGUUACCAGCAAGUCAAGUUGGGGAAUCUGGCGAGACGGCCGGCGCAAGCCGUGAGGAAGGCGGGGACGACGUCAAAUCAGCAUGGCCGUUACGUCCGGGGUGACACACAAGUUACAAUGGCAGUCACCGAGAGAAGCAAAGCGGCGACGCAAAGCGGAACCCGAAAGCCCGUUUCCGUUCGGAAUGGAGUCUGCAUCUCGACUCCCCGAAGCUGGAUUAGCU
rnacentral:rRNA from 1 species